GACAUAGGUGGCAAACGUUAUCCGGAAUUACUGGGCGUAAAGCGCACGUAGGCGGCUUUGUAAGUUAGAGGUGAAAGCCUGGAGCUCAACUCCAGAAUUGCCUUUAAGACUGCAUCGCUUGAAUCCAGGAGAGGUGAGUGGAAUUCCGAGUGUAGAGGUGAAAUUCGUAGAUAUUCGGAAGAACACCAGUGGCGAAGGCGGCUCACUGGACUGGUAUUGACGCUGAGGUGCGAAAGCGUGGGGAGCAAACAGG
rnacentral:rRNA from 1 species